UUGAACGCUGGCGGCAGGCCUAACACAUGCAAGUCGAACGGUAACAGGAAGCAGCUUGCUGCUUUGCUGACGAGUGGCGGACGGGUGAGUAAUGUCUGGGAAACUGCCUGAUGGAGGGGGAUAACUACUGGAAACGGUAGCUAAUACCGCAUAACGUCGCAAGACCAAAGAGGGGGACCUUCGGGCCUCUUGCCAUCGGAUGUGCCCAGAUGGGAUUAGCUAGUAGGUGGGGUAACGGCUCACCUAGGCGACGAUCCCUAGCUGGUCUGAGAGGAUGACCAGCCACACUGGAACUGAGACACGGUCCAGACUCCUACGGGAGGCAGCAGUGGGGAAUAUUGCACAAUGGGCGCAAGCCUGAUGCAGCCAUGCCGCGUGUAUGAAGAAGGCCUUCGGGUUGUAAAGUACUUUCAGCGGGGAGGAAGGGAGUAAAGUUAAUACCUUUGCUCAUUGACGUUACCCGCAGAAGAAGCACCGGCUAACUCCGUGCCAGCAGCCGCGGUAAUACGGAGGGUGCAAGCGUUAAUCGGAAUUACUGGGCGUAAAGCGCACGCAGGCGGUUUGUUAAGUCAGAUGUGAAAUCCCCGGGCUCAACCUGGGAACUGCAUCUGAUACUGGCAAGCUUGAGUCUCGUAGAGGGGGGUAGAAUUCCAGGUGUAGCGGUGAAAUGCGUAGAGAUCUGGAGGAAUACCGGUGGCGAAGGCGGCCCCCUGGACGAAGACUGACGCUCAGGUGCGAAAGCGUGGGGAGCAAACAGGAUUAGAUACCCUGGUAGUCCACGCAGUAAACGAUGGACACUAUCUGUUCGGGUCGAGAGAGAUCUGAGUGGUACAGCGAAAGCGUUAAGUGUCCCACCUGGGGAGUACGCCGGCAACGGUGAAACUCAAAGGAAUUGACGGGGGCCCGCACAAGCGGUGGAGCAUGUGGUUUAAUUCGAUGCAACGCGAAGAACCUUACCUGGUCUUGACAUCCACGGAAGUUUUCAGAGAUGAGAAUGUGCCUUCGGGAACCGUGAGACAGGUGCUGCAUGGCUGUCGUCAGCUCGUGUUGUGAAAUGUUGGGUUAAGUCCCGCAACGAGCGCAACCCUUAUCCUUUGUUGCCAGCGGUCCGGCCGGGAACUCAAAGGAGACUGCCAGUGAUAAACUGGAGGAAGGUGGGGAUGACGUCAAAUCAUCAUGCCCCUUAUGAUUUGGGCUACACACGUGCUACAAUGGCGCAUACAAAGAGAAGCGACCUCGCGAGAGCAAGCGGACCUCAUAAAGUGCGUCGUAGUCCGGAUUGGAGUCUGCAACUCGACUCCAUGAAGUCGGAAUCGCUAGUAAUCGUGGAUCAGAAUGCCACGGUGAAUACGUUCCCGGGCCUUGUACACACCGCCCGUCACACCAUGGGAGUGGGUUGCAAAAGAAGUAGGUAGCUUAACCUUCGGGAGGGCGCUUACCACUUUGUGAUUCAUGACUGGGGUG
rnacentral:rRNA from 1 species